UUCAAACUCAGCAUGCAAAGGUGACAGACUUCUACGAAGAUUCAUUGCCCCCAUCAUGACAUCAGCCGAGCUACUCUUUCUGCAAAACCACCCUUGUCCCGUAAACAUGUCUCCCUCUUACCAGGCUCCGUCAAUAUAACAAACUCUAGAACCUUCCAGGGCUAUAGCCGCAGAUUGUUGUAAACUCCCACUAUAUGAAUUCU
rnacentral:lncRNA from 1 species